rnacentral:rRNA from 1 species
GUAGGUGGCAAGCGUUGUCCGGAAUUAUUGGGCGUAAAGCGCGCGCAGGUGGUUCCUUAAGUCUGAUGUGAAAGCCCCCGGGCUCAACCGGGGAGGGUCAUUGGAAACUGGGGAACUUGAGUGCAGGAGAGGAAAGUGGAAUUCCACGUGUAGCGGUGAAAUGCGUAGAUAUGUGGAGGAACACCAGUGGCGAAGGCGACUUUCUGGCCUGUAACUGACACUGAGGCGCGAAAGCGUGGGGAGCAAACAGGAUUAGAUACCCUGGUAGUCCACGCCGUAAACGAUGAGUGCUAAGUGUUGGGGGGUCUCCGCCCCUCAGUGCUGCAGCUAACGCAUUAAGCACUCCGCCUGGGGAGUACGGUCGCAAGACUG